rnacentral:rRNA from 1 species
CCUACGGGUGGCUGCAGUCGAGAAUCAUUCACAAUGGGGGAAACCCUGAUGGUGCGACGCCGCGUGGGGGAAUGAAGGUCUUCGGAUUGUAAACCCCUGUCAUGUGGGAGCAAAUUAAAAAGAUAGUACCACAUGAGGAAGAGACGGCUAACUCUGUGCCAGCAGCCGCGGUACUACAGAGGUCUCAAGCGUUGUUCGGAAUCACUGGGCGUAAAGCGUGCGUAGGCGGUUUCGUAAGUCGUGUGUGAAAGGCGCGGGCUCAACCCGCGGACGGCACAUGAUACUGCGAGACUAGAGUAAUGGAGGGGGAACCGGAAUUCUCGGUGUAGCAGUGAAAUGCGUAGAUAUAGAGAGGAACACUCGUGGCGAAGGCGGGUUCCUGGACAUUAACUGACGCUGAGGCACGAAGGCCAGGGGAGCGAAAGGGAUUAGAUACCCGGGUAGUC